rfam:Gossypium raimondii Chr06_contig_553, whole genome shotgun sequence.
AAACCACGCAUUGUGCAUUUUCCAAUUAACUCUUUGAAUCGCUCACAUGCUUCAUAUAAUGUUUCAUCCUCAGAUUGCCCAAAGGAUGUAAUAUCGUUCCUCAAUUU